rnacentral:rRNA from 1 species
UACGGAGGGAGCUAGCGUUGUUCGGAAUUACUGGGCGUAAAGCGCACGUAGGCGGCUUUUUAAGUCAGGGGUGAAAUCCCGGGGCUCAACCCCGGAACUGCCCUUGAAACUGGAGAGCUAGAAUCUUGGAGAGGCGAGUGGAAUUCCGAGUGUAGAGGUGAAAUUCGUAGAUAUUCGCAAGAACACCAGUGGCGAAGGCGGCUCACUGGCCCGAUACUGACGCUGAGGUGCGAAAGCGUGGGGAGCAAACAGG